GUUCAAAGCAGGCAGAUUCAUUUUUCUGCCACCGAAUACAUUAGCAUGGGAUAAUGGAAUAGGACCCUGUCCUCCUAUUUUCAGUUGGUUUUGGCAGCGCGAGGACUAGGGUAAUGAUUAAUAGGGAUAGUUGGGGGCAUUAAUAUUUAAUUGUCAGAGGUGAAAUUCUUGGAUUUAUGAAAGAUUAACUUCUGCGAAAGCAUCUGCCAAGGAUGUUUUCAUUAAUCAAGAACGAAAGUUAGGGGAUCGAAGACGAUCAGAUACCGUCGUAGUCUUAACCAUAAACGAUGCCGACCAGCGAUUAGGAGACGUUGAAUACAAAACACCACCAUCGGCGCGGUCGUCCUUGGCGCGUUCGUGUUCACGCACGGGGGCGCGAGGGCGGCUUAGCCCGGUGGCACCGGUGAAUGACUCCCCUAGCA
rnacentral:rRNA from 1 species